GGGGAGGGGAGAAAAGGCGGGAUCAUAUCACGGAGCCUGAGCCAGUGAGCGAGCUGCUCUCCUGCGUGGGGCUUUGCGGGAGAAGCCAUCUUGAGAGUGGGUACGUGGCGAGUCAGGCGGCGGGAAGCGUGCUUUCCACCAGGCUGCCGCCAUCUUGCAAACGGGCAGGGUCCGUCCACGGGCAUGAGGGUAGAGGGAGGUGCGUCGCCAUCUUGGAGUCGGGCAGGGGACCUAUGGGGCUCCAUCUUGCUUUUGGGCACGUGGCUGAAAAGGCUGAUUCCAACAGAGACCUUACUCCUAGGUGGGCAUGCGGGGAGGUGGAGGCCGCUUAGCCCGUCCCGGACUAGCCGGGGCUCCGUCUGCUCUGCUGAUCUCUGGUUUUGAGAGCGCGAUGUGGUCAGGGAUGGCCCCCGACGGCCCUUUGUUCGCCCCGGAGCAGCAAAACCCGGCCGCAGCCCUCUGCCCUGGCCGCAGGGAUGGGGAAACUGAGGUGGACCUCGCUUGCUUGCGCUGCAGGCCAUCUGUAACCCCAGGACCGCCAGUCGGGAAUGUUCCGGUGGAUUUAGGAGAAUCUCCGACACAUUCCCGUGGAUUUGCUCCCUCUUGAGCUGUGCUUUGGGCACCACGAGGGCCAGCAGCUCAUCUUCCUUCUGGGGGGACUGAUGCCAGGGAUGCCCCCCCAGAGCAGCGGGGAGGGAGGGGGACAUGGGGUGUCCCAGCCCAGGGGGAGAAGAGCGCAGCGGACGCCGGCAGAGUGUGUAGACUAUCAGAAUGGCGUUAAAACCCACUCCCCAUCACAGCCCUCCCAGGGUCCUGGCCCACCUUGCAGCCGGCAGCCCCCACACCACGGGCCCCCUGCCUGGUCCUGACCUAAUUUACACAGGCCUCCCGUGUGCGGCUGACCCUUUCGGAGACUCUUCCCUAAAAUACACUACUCCCUCUUUCACGCCCCUGUCCCAGGGCCUUUGCCAAGGCCCCUCAUCAGAACAGCCUCGCCUGGGGCGCCUGGGUGGCUCAGUCGGUGAAGCAUCUGCCUUCGGCUCAGGUCAUGAUCCUGGGGUCCUGGGAUGGAGCCCCACAUCGAGCUUCUUGCUCGGCGAGAAGCCUGCCCCUCCUCCUGCUCCUGUUUUCCCUCUCUCUCAAAUAAAUAAUAAAUCUUAAAAAAAAAAAGGAAAAGAAAAGAACAGCCUCUCCCGAUGUCCCCCGUGAGAUGGUUGAGGGUAAUACUUCUCAUUUCCACAAUGCACGGGAGCUCCUCGGCAUCAAUUCAAACACAGGCCAGUGUUAGGUAGAAAAUGUUGGCAAGGAGGCCAAGAGGCCCCUGAGGGAGGGGUCUGUGGCUGAGAUGCGGUCCCCUGUGUCUCAGGCCAGCCCCUGAGUCUUGCUAGAUGCUGGAACCCCGAGGUGAAGGGGACAAGGCCGGGGCUCUGAUGAGAAGCCACACUGAUCCCCACAGUUAGAAGAUCUGCAGGCUGGGAGGUAUACAACACAGAUGUAUUCUCCUGACUCUAGAGGCCCCAGCGUGUAUGGAUUAGGUGCUUCGUGAUGGAGGGAGGCCUUGGGGGGCCCCAGGGGUCCCCACAGUCCUCAGUGCCCAGCGUGUGCCCCAGCGUGUACGGAUCAGACGGACGCCCCUGACUUCAGUAGGAGCCAGCCCGGCCUUCUCUUUCUCCCACCCCAGCCAUGCCCACCAGCUGUUUCCCUCAUUAAUGAUUUAAGGAUGAUUGUGGACGUGUGAGCACCUUUUAUUCAUUUGCGAAUUUUGAAAAGGAUCCUCUCUGCGGCAGGAGCGAGGGAGUGAGGUUGAGUGAGCCGCCUGAGCCUCCCAGCCUGUAUGAGGCCCCACCCGGCUGGACCCAGGCCGCUGCACCUUGGCUGGGGGCGCUGCAGAGGGGUGAACAGUCUAGCCAGUCCUCCAAGGGGUCAGCCUAGAGUUACCACCUGACCCAGCAACGCCACUUCUAGCAAACACUCGCCCUCAGCUGCAGGACUCAGCCAAAAAGUGGAGGAACGCAGUGCCCACCGGCAGAUUAGACGACCGCAGAGAGGAAAACGAAAGGCCAGCUGAAACGGCCCCGAGUCAGCGAGACCUGCCUUAGCGUCAGAGGUCUGCCUGGCAGAGUGGGCCUGUACCGGCUUGCUCCGACCAGAAGGCGAGGGCACCUGCUCCCCGUGCACUGUAUGCAUACCACGCACAUGGCCCCGGGGUCCGUCAGCGCCUCCUAAGCCGUGGCUAAAAAUUUCAUUGACGACCCAUCAGCGUUGUGUUUUCUGGCCACACAUCUCUUUCCCGGGGUUUUAAAACCGGCCGGAGCCUUUUGCAUCCACUUCGCCUUGAUACGAGAAUCCCACUGGGCCCGGGCUCUGCCAGAAACCCUUUAAACACGGAGUUGCCACAGAGGAGGAGACGAGCAUCCCGGCGGUCAGCCCGGAGGUGCCCACGGCUGGUGUUUUGAAUGCUGUUACCUGGAACGGGUUUUAAAAAUUGCAUUUUGUGGCUUUAUUCUGUUUCUUCGAUAAGAAGGUCCUCCAUUCUCCCUUACGCCCACCUGGUAUCCUGAAACUCCCUGGAGGAUCCUGAAAUUCCUUCUGAAACAUCAUAUUUUAAAGGAAAUUGUGGCAAAAUGCACAUAAUAUAAAAUGUGUCCCUUUAACGGUUCCCUAAGCGCACAGCUCGGUGGCACCAGCCACACUCACGGUCGCCCAGCCAUCCCCACCGUCCAUCUCCAGAAUCUUCCAUCUCCCCAAACGGAGGCUCUGGAAAACACCAUCUUUAACAUGGUUCCUGACAGCUACACCUCCCGGUCCACCUGCCGCGUGGGAGCCCAUGGCCAUGGCCCUCACGCACCCUCAUCUUGCUGGCCGAGCCCCUCCUGCCCUGGGCCCCUCAUACUCGCCCCCUGACCUGGCUUCUCGGCAUGCACUCACGACUUGCUGGGGGCCACGGGCAGCGGCCAGCCCUAAAGCCAGGCACUGGUCAGCGCACGCACGAUUCUGGCUAGCCUCGGCCCCCCAUUCCACAGGGGUCACGAGCCUCCCCGGCACAGAUGGCCUGGGACCUGCCACCGGUCCAGUCCUCGGUCCCUCCAACCAGCCCGACAGCCAAGAGCCUUCCUAUCUGAACAGCAAAGCUCAGCAAACAACAAGAAGAAAAACCCAGAAGAGCUGAGGUGACGGUCUUUCUUUCCCUAAAACCCAAUGUCCUUAUUUUUUUAAAGAAAGCUACAUUUUGCCUCCCACCCCAAGCUUCUCUGUCCAGCCAACAGGGUUUAAACUCCCAGACGUUCUCCUGGCAGAAAAUUCUAGAAUCAGGAGGGCAGGUGCAGGCCCCGUCAGUCGGCUUCUGUCCCCCUUUGUUUUCUUGGCGACUUCCUUUUCGCUGAAGAUAAAAUAGGUCCCAACAAUAAAAACGAACUACUGAGAUGUUCGUGUUUAUCUGCAAAGCACAGCCUCUGGCCUCCGGAAUGUUCUUGUGUCAUUUCCAGAUAUUGUGUGGGGUUCCGGCAGAGUGCAUGGACAGAGCUGGGACACGACCAGGCCAGGGCUCCAGAGACAUGGUUUUUAAAAUGCCCGUGUUUCUCCAACAACCUGCAAAGUUCGUGGUUAUUUCUUCCUGUGACACUUGUCUCUGGAACCUUCCGUGGGGGCCCGUGUACACGCCAGACCGUGCAGAAUUCGACCCACAAGGACCUCCGCCCAGACCCCCAACUUUGCUCACGGUGCUCAGCGCUGCCGGUGAUAACUUCUUAUCAAGGCCUCGCAACGGGAAUGGAAGGGGGCCAGAAGGAGGGUUUGGGGCCGUUUUGAUUGCUUUUUCGUUAAUAAUUCUCUUUGCUCCUGGGCUCGGAGCACAGAGAGGCUGGAGGGAGGCUGGGUGGGCCCUGGAGGCCCCACAGGAGGGGAAACCGGCCCACAUGCCUGGCAUUCCUCCUCUCCUUCCCACAUUGUUUGUUUGUUUGUUUUAAAUUAGAGUCGCCAGGAAUUCCUUUUCCUUUCUGAUUCUGCUGGGACUUUGUAACAUCCUAGAACCACCGCCUGGCCAGGGCAUAGAACAUUCCAGCACCCUCCCGGCUCCAUCCCCUCCCCAGACACCCACACUGACAAUUAUUUUUCCUUGGAGUGUGUGCAGCUAGCCACAAGCCCCCAGGUCUGCAAGGGCACCCCUGGCCACACGGGGCCCAUGGCCCCUGCUGUCCCUGAGCCUACCCCCCCCCCCGUCAGCCUCCCCCGUCAGCCUCCCCCAUCAGAACAGCCACCCCUCCUGACCUCCCUCCGUGCCUGCCCACCAGGCUGGGCUGUGGUGGACACCAGAGCCUGGAUCCAGGGGAGGGGCACAGUGUGGAUGCCCAUGUCCACAUCCAGCCUCCCUGGUGAGGAAACCGAGGCAGGUACUGAACUCACUCCCCGAGCGCCUCUCAUCUUUCCACAUGUCCACUUUAUCCAGUGAUAAAGCAAAGUUAAUGUCAUCGGUUUUUUUUUUUUUUUACUUAUUUUUUUAAAGAUUUUGUUUAUUUGACAGAGAGGGAACACAAGCAGGGGGCGUGGGAGAGGGGGAAGGAGGCUCCCCGGCGAGCAGGAGACCCGCCCCCCCAUGCGGGGCCCCAUCCCAGGACCCUGGGAUCAUGACUUGAGCUGAAGGCAGAUGCCCAACCGACUGAGCCUCCCAGGUGCCCCGAGGUCAACGUCAUGGUGAAGCAGGCUCAGGAUGCCAAACUCCGAGACAUUUCCCUACCAUUUUACACAACGCACAGCACAAGACAGAGUCGCACAACAAACAAGAUACUGCAAGGGCAUUGGAUCAAUCUUGGGCCUCUUGCCAGCUUGCUCGGGCCUGCUGAUUAUCAGGUUAUCAGGUCUGGCGUUCUCGGCCGCAGAGCCCUCGGCUGCUGGUACCCGUGCCCGGCGUGAGUGACCCCGUCGUGCCCUCUGCACGCCGACCUGAGGUCCCCGGCAGGAUGCCACGAAGCCCCGCAGCCCCCAACGGCUGUCACUGAGCGUCCCAGAGCCCAGCACGGGGUAACAUCCUUCAGGCCUCCGCGCAAGCCCGCCAACCUCAGUGACGCUUGUUGAAAUGAGAUUGUUCCUGGGAAAUCGGAGAAUCGGUCCUGGUUCAAGCGCGCAGUAGGUGCUCACAUCCCAACCCCCCACCCCAUGCGGGGCCUCUGUCCCUUCCUGUGGCCCCUCAGUCAGGCCAGCCCAGAGCUGCACACCAGUGGGUCCCAGCGAGUGACCAUCAGCGAGGCCCCAUCGAGGAAGAAAGUUGCUCCGAGCAGGAUUCCUGUGUUUCCCUAAAUUGAGAGGGGAAAUUCGCAUAAUGUAGAAUUAACCAUUUUAAGUGAACAAUCCAGUGGCAUUUGGUACAUUGACUAUAUUGUGCAACCGUGCCCUUUAUCUAGUUCUGGACAUUCCGUCUCCCCAACAGCAGUCCUGUCCCCCUCAGCCGUCACCCCCGCCACAGCCCCGGGCCCCCACGAGCCCCCUUCCUGUCCGCAGAUGAGCCUGUUCCGGACGUGUCACCCGCAUGGACUCACACCCCACGUGGCCUUCCGUGUCCGGGUCCCUCCCUGAACGUCCCCGCCCCCAUCAACGGUCACUCCCCACCUUCUCCCCCGCCCCUGCCCCCCAAGCCCCCUUCCCGUCCGCGGAUGAGCCUGUUCUGGACGUGUCACCCACAUGGACUCACACCCCGCCUGGCCUUCCGUGUCUGGCUCCCUCCCUGAGCGUCGUGGGCUCGGGGUCCGUCCCCACUCCUGUCCACGGCUGAGGGACGCUCCUGCGCGUGGGUGGACACGUCGUGUUGGACAUGUCACGUGUGUCGGUCCAGCCGUGGAUGGACACUGGGGUGUUCGGGCCCCUUGGGCUGCUGUGAACAGUCUCGUGCUAGUGUUGUUGGUGGACCUGUUUCCGGCUGCUUGGGGCACGCUCCCGAGUGUCCACCAGGGACAGGUGGUGACCCUGCCUGACUGAGGAGCACCUGGCUCACCGGCUCACUGUCC